GCGGUCAAGUGUACCUAGGUCCUAGGCACACCUGUGUUCACCACUGCCUUGCUUGUUGUCCACAGACACACUUGACCUCCUCUUCUUCUCCACUUUUUCUUUUCUUCACUUUGGCUGUGUCCUACAGCAUCCCUACAGUCCUCUUCUCUGAUCUCUGAGAAAUACUCCCCCCCUUGAAAUUAACCUAUCUUGUCUACACACCUCUCCCCUUUCCCUCCAAAUUUAACACCAGUAACACUCUGGUAAUGGCAUUCCCUUUCCACAUAGGCCAAAAUACCCAACUAAUCCAAAUUAGAAUGCUCCUCCAUGUGAAAAUCCUAUUUUAAUACUUCUUUCAGUUUCUGUGUCCCCACGGUAUUAUCGGGAAAGAAUCCAUACUUCAAGCCCUUAACAGUUUUCUGAAGAUUUUUUAAUGAAUGAGAUAAAUCAAGAAAUACAAGAAGAAUCCCGUGACCCCAGUCAGGAACAGCAACAUUUUUGGUUGCAACAGGAGUGAAAAGAUGAUGAUAAACUAGGGCGGGGCUUUUGCCCAACAGGAUGUGUUCUCCAUGCCUGUCCCAGGAUUGCACGGACCUUCCAGACUACUGGGACCAAAGAGUGCGGCACUGUGGCUGCCAAUGAGUGUGCACCACAGGUAGCCCAGGAGACAACAGUGGCGGUAUUUGGAGGUCAGAACAGCCCUGCUCAUCCUGGCCCAGGGGAGGGAAAGGGGAAACCAAAAAGAGGAAACAAUGGCUCUGGGACUCGCAGGUGGGAAUAAUCAGGAGGUUUGUGCUCAAACUACUAGUGUUACAUGGCCUGGAGCAGGAAGGAAAAGAGCAAGGAUAGGAAGCCAGGCCAGAGAGGCCAUGGGGGUCACCCCACAAGGUCUUAGAGAUCUAACUAUAUAAGUAAUGAGGAACUCAUGGGACAUGAUAAGCAGGACCUAGAAACAGUCUACUGCUGAGCAGCUGUAACUUUGCAUGUCAUGUUUCCAAACCAUAAAGCAGAACAAUAGAACUCACUUUAUGCAGUGGUAGGGAAGAUCAGAUAAGGGCCAACCAGUUAGGACAAUGCUGAACAAAUGGUCACUACUCUGUAGCUGCUGAGAUAGAAAAAUUUCUAGGUAACUAAAAUGUCAGCUGGGGACUCCGUCCUGAGGUGCUAAGGUGCAGUUCCCUUUAAGGGGCACAGCCCUCCUCUGGCACCCAAAGCCCUCUGUGAGGUUUUGCAAACCACAUGCGAGGUGGGCCUUGAGGCGACUGCUGACUCCUGGGCAUCCGCUUCCCUGGGCUGCUCUCUGUUCUGCACUGUGACUUCACCUGAGAGGCUCAGGUUCCCUCUCACGAGCCUGUGCUCAGCUUCUAAAGGGGUGCAAGGCCCAUGGCAGUGAAAGAAAGCUGGACAGGCAGGAAGGCUCUGCAGGAGCUGGGCAGCAGCAGUAUGCUUGGCUGUUAGUAGCCGGGCUUCCUGUCACUCUUCUCUCCUUCACCUCAGCCUCUCCUCUGUCUAAGGGUUCCAUUCCUCCCUCUUUCUGUUUCAUCUGCACUCAGCAAACCCCCUCCCUGUGAAAAUAACUAAUUAUUCCUCUUGUAUUGUGCAGAUCACCUUCUCCCUUUCCCUCACAUCUUAGUCCCGGCUUACGGAGAAGUCUCCUAAAUGCUGUGAAGAGAAAUUCAAGCCGAAACUAUGAGUGACUACUUGUUUUUACCAUCCAGGCACAGAAGUGAAGGUCAUGUUUGGGUGGACUUGAAAGGUGAGACUCAGACCCUGUGGACCAUGAAGUGAUGCUUCCCAUUGACACUGGAGGAGUUCCCACUCCUGCCCAGACAACUCUGCCUAGGAAAGGAGCCUCCUGAGAUCAAGAGACCAGGCCCUGUCCUGUCUCCCAUGGAAAAUAAAGAUGCAAAGCGGAGCCCACCUAGACUGAGCCAAGUUGCACAAUUUGGGGCACAGCCUCCUCCCAGGACAGCCUUCGCUUCUGAGGCCACUGCCAGCACAGGAGAUCCCCCAAACCACCCUCCAUUCCAACAAUUCACCAGAGGAGGUGAGAACUCAUGGAAAGCUGUUUCUGCACAGGCCUGGUCUAACAGGGUCCCAACCUGAAGCUGCUCUUCUCCCCUCCCUGUGAAAGCAGGACCUGAUGUAUAGCAACAAGCACACCACUGCCAACCAGGAAAGCCAGAAGAGCUCAUCAGGCUGUGAUGCUCAGGUUUUGAUUGAGCAUCCAUUAUGCGGGCUUGAUUGACACUGACUGACUAACUGCGCAUGAGCUUGAUCCCAGUCUCCAGGCCAACAGAUGCACAUGGUCAGAACACUCCCAUUCCUCACCUGGCUGGUCUUUCUCAUAUGGUCACCCUGGUCCUCCACCCUGAGAUCUGGUGUGGUCAGCCCCUGACCAUGUGACUAUCUCCCAGAGACUGAGAGUGAAGGCAAGAUCUCCUUGGGCAAGGUCCAAUUCUUUAUUACUCAGACUUAACGAGAUUCACAGAUGCCAAAAAUUCCUAAAACCAAAUGAGCUCCCCUUCUUCCCUCACUUCUAGAGUCAUGGAUGGGGACUGCUGAGAUCUACCCAGGACAGGAUCUGUUCUCACAGGGGAGGACAGGUUUCAGAGAGUGGGAGGAACAGAUCUCUGCCACCCUCCCUGGCAGUGUUUAUGUCAGGAGGCAGCCAGCCCUGGAAGCUAGGAUAGGAGGCUCAUUUCCCAAGGGGUGGGAAGGGUGCUGGAGGCAGAGGAAGGAGUGGGAAAGGGGGAGCAUAAGAGAUUGUUAUAUAAAUAGGAAGCCUUUGGUGCAGAAAAAGCCAACCAAUCACGGUAUAAAAAGCAUCAGUCACUUAGGACAUGGUGGGGAGGGUCAGUGUGGCCUUGGACAGGGUGGCACUUCCGAAAGGGAAUGGGGGCAUUAUUGAUAACUAUGCCAGGACACGUAUAAAUAAGAUUAUCCCAGACAUCUCAGCAACCAUGUUCAAACAGUUCUGUGUGGUCAGUAAGAUUAACCGGACCUGGAGGCUGGUGGUGCGUGUCCCGACUUAGGCACAGUGAACUCUGGGCCCUGAGCUCAUCCUCCGUCAUCUUGAGCUGAUCUCCAUGGGAGCUGCAGUGGGACUGGCUUGGAGGCCCAGGCCCAUGCAACACCUGAUGGGCAGAUAUCAGCAAGACGCCAAGGGGCCUUAGGAUGGCUGCCCAGUAGUGAGCACGUUGGUCCAAAGUGCAAGCCCUGGCCUGUGCAGAGUUCUGACCCCAAAACCUGUGGGCCUGAGCUGAGAGCUGGUUCUCAGCUGGUAGAAAGCUGGUAGAACUUUGCUGAAUUUAGAAGUUCAGAUCACUUACAGCAGACUGAGCACUGCAAAUGUGUGAUGGGCCUAAAGCACCUCCACAGUGCUGGCACAAAUUGAAGAGAAAGGAGACGGGGCUAAAAUUAGACUACAGACAAAGAUACACAGGUCACUGUGUCCAUGGCCCUGAGGGAGAGAUUCUGGGUUCAAAGUGAGGGAAAAUACCUCUGAACCUUUCCUGUGGAAUCUUACAAAGUAGAGAGGUGAAAAUUGGGUGGACUUGGAAAGUGAGAAGUUGUGAAAUGAACCUUGGAUAGAAGUUUUAAAAUUUGGAUAUUAGUCUCAAUUAAUCGACUAUGAGGUGUAGAAAACAAUAAUAAUAGCAAAUGCUAUUGCACAGGUACUAUUAAUCUAUUCUACCCUCCAAACAACACUGAGUAGAUGCUCUUUUUAUUCUCACCUUACUGAACAAAAUUUUGGCAAAGAGGUUAAGUAAUCUACCUAAGGUCACAGAAUUUUAUACCAGCAGAUAAACCCAGGGAAUCUGGGUCCAGAAUUUAUGCUUAUAAUUCGGGCAAUUUUGUUCGUAAAAUCAGUAAAUUGGAUUAAGUGAUUUCCAGGGUUCUUUCCACUUUUUUAGUCUUUGAUUCUCUGGAAUAAAGUUUAAGUGAAAGUACUUUGAUUAGAUAUACAAAAGAAUCUAAUUUUCAUGACCAUAUUAACUGUAAUAGUUAACAUAAAACUAGAUUUUCCUUGUAGCACAUCAUCAAAUUCUGUUUUUUUAAAAAAGACUAAUGUAGGCAAAGAAGUUUGCUAUUGAAAAAAAUUUGAUUUUUUUUUUUUUAGUAAUCUCCCAAUGGCAGUUGCUCCAGAGCCAAGUGUUGGCAAAGACAGCAGUGCUCUCCUGAUAAUAGACUCCAGACACAUUCUUCUUCCACAAUAUUGUUAAAAAUCAGUUUAACAUAAGUAGUUCAUCUGAGAAGAGAAUUUUUUUCCAGUCUAAAGUGAAUUGAUGUCAUAAUAUCAUGCUUUCAGUUAUGUCUCUAUUUUUCAAAUGGAAGAGAAGAAAACAAUAGAUUACUCAACAUCUCUCUGCAGAAUAGGCAAAGUAGGCCUUCUACUGGCUCACAUCCUCCUGGAACCCUUUUCUUUCAGCAAGGUCCUGGCUGCUCUCUAGAGCAUUCUGGCAUCAGCACACUUACAUACUCUCUCAAGGACAAAAAUAUCUUGUCCUCACUUUCCCUGAUUCAUGUUUGAGCUCUCUAUAACAAAAGACAAAUUAAAAAGACAAAUUUAUUUAAUAACUUUUGUAUGAUGCAAGAGCUCUCCUAAAGAAAUAAAGACCUGAAGAAAUGGUUAAACCUGUAUAUUCUUACAUUAGGUUUGAUGAGGAGUAGAUAGCCAUGGGGAUACAAGGUGGAACAGAGAGGCUGUGAUCUAACAGUAAUGAACCAGAAGGCCCUUAGCCAGUUCCACUUGUUCCAAGUCUUCUGUGACCCUCGGUCAUCAGAGAUGAGUAUGCUCCUUUCUUCCAGGUGCCCACUUGCAUGAGGGUCUUAAGAUCUGCUUCAGGGGAAAUCAGAAACAUCCUUUCUGUGUUUUAUGACCUGUCUCAGUGGAGAAAGGCAGGGAAAGGUAAGAAUGGCUUUCUUGUUUCUGCUGUUUUUUUUAAUGCCAAGGUCCCAUAUUUGGGAGUGAUUUGUCCUAAACCCCUUUGGCUCUGUAAUCACUUCUCUUUCUAAUUCAACCAGUUCAACUUGAAGACAAAAAAUGGCUGGAAAUGCACCAAGCAUUGCCUUUCUAGGCAACAUCCCAGCCAGGAACAAAGCAGUAAGCUGAGCUCUGGGUAGAUUUUUGUCUAUCCAAGCAAUGACAGAGAGGUGCAUGAAACAUUAUGGGAAAACACAGAGGGAUGCUUAUCUCUCAGAGGAAAUGAGGAAAUAGAAACAGUGUCAAAGACAAGUUGAUCCUUACAUUGAAUAUUACUAGAUGCACUGGAACAGACCUGGCAGGAACAGUGGAGAAGAGUAUUCCAGGCAGAAGGGACACUAUGAUCUAAGCCUGAAAACUAUAAAGAUCUUGCUAUGGAUCCUCAUUUGUGAGGCCUCAAGGUAGUAUUGACAAAAGAGAAAGCAGUGAGGGAGGGUGGAAUCCAAACACAUGGUUUAUUUACCUUUUACUGAGAGAGACAGGGAGUUACUGAGGGAACUGAUAAUUCCAGACUUGUAAAUACAAAGGUCACCUGACUGAUAGGGUAGAUUAGAGGGUGACUAGACCAGAUGCUAGUUAAGAGAUAGAUAGUGGAUGAGGGUCUCAAGUUUUAAUAGAUAUUUAGAAUACAAAUUAAGGGAAAUUUGGGUUCUAGAAGAUGUAAAUACUCUCACCCCAUCCCUAAAAAGGUGCUAGGAUGCUCCCAGAUUACUAUCCAGGGUGAUUAGAUCAUGGAAUGCUAUGCAGACCUCUAGCCUCCUGAAGUGUCUCUAGGGCUCCUAUUUGACCCUCCAAAUCUCCAAAGGCUCAUACGUGCUCAGAGACCCAAACCCCUGAUAUCUGUAUCUGUAUCUGUAUGUUUCAGAUACCUUGAUUUUUUUUUUUAUUGUUCUACAAUGAUGGUGUACUUCUUCUCUUUUUUUUUUUUUUUUUUUUUUUGUGGUACUGGGGAUGGAUCUCAGGAUCUUGUGCUGAUGGUGUACUUCUUUAUAAUUAAAAACAUACAUUUUUGCAAAUAUAUUUACAAAAAUUAUUGGAGAAUUUGGACCUUGCAUAGCAAGGGCCAUAAUCAUCUCUGGAUUAUGGAAAAGCAAUACCAAAAGAAGAUGUACAGUAGGUACUAGGAUGUUGUAAGCAAAGUAAGGUCUACCUAUCUGAGGCAACUGUCCUUAUAUGUCAGGAUAUCUUCAAGAUAAAAUCAGUUCUUGAAUGUUACAGUGAUCUAACAAGUGUUUCUGCCUUGUUGUAGCAAAGUAAGAACGUCCUUAAUGCUGUGAUGAAGCAUUUGUCUUAUGGCCACUGGGAGAUAAAUGACUUACAAUAAAUUAAACUAUAUUUGGUAAUCAAGAUGAUGUGCACUGAUUCUUAACACUCGUCUCUUUUAAAAAAGAUCCUUGGAAAAAAGAUCCAAAAUCAUACACCUGAGCUGUCAAAAGAGUGUGUGUGGCCUGGAAAGAAGGACAGCAGGAAGCAAAGUGAGAGGCUUUCCCAUUGUUGUUUCCCCCAAAGUACUGCUAAAAUUAAUGGCACUAUUUUCAUGUUUUGUAUAGUAGAUAGUGUGAUUAUAGUUCAAGCAAGGUUUCUUCCUCUCUUGAGAC